rnacentral:rRNA from 1 species
GUCGAGAAUCUUCCCCAAUGGGCGAAAGCCUGAGGGAGCGACGCCGCGUGAGGGAUGAAGGCCCUUUGGGUUGUAAACCUCUGUUAGGGGGAAAGAAAAGCAGUGGAAGCAAUAUGUCCAUUGCCUGACGUUACCCCCAGAGAAAGCUCCGGCCAACUCCGUGCCAGCAGCCGCGGUAAUACGGGGGGAGCAAGCGUUGUCCGGAAUCAUUGGGCGUAAAGGGCGUGUAGGCGGCUUGGCAAGUCGAAUGUGAAAUCCCACGGCUCAACCGUGGAACUGCGUUCGAAACUGCCUUGCUUGAGUGCGGGAGAGGUGUGCGGAAUUCCUGGUGUAGCGGUGGAAUGCGUAGAUAUCAGGAAGAACACCGGUGGCGAAGGCGGCACACUGGCCCAGCACUGACGCUGAGGCGCGAAAGCGUGGGGAGCGAACGGGAUUAGAUACCCUGGUAGUCC